AAGUCGUAACAAGGUUUCCGUAGGUGAACCUGCGGAAGGAUCAUUACAGCGUUCCUGCCCCCAUGGGUAGAAACCUCACCCUGUGUUAAAACCUAUCUAUGUUUCCCUGGCGGGCCGCCUCAGGGCGCCGGCCCCGGCCGUCUCGCGCCCGUCGGGGACACCAUAACCCUGUUUGCUAGUCUGUCUGAGUACUAUAUAAUAGUUAAAACUUUCAACAACGGAUCUCUUGGCUCUG
rnacentral:misc_RNA from 1 species